CUCACGUUCAUUUUCUUUUUUCUCUCUUUCUGAGACUUCUUCCUUCUCCCACUCCUUCUUCCUAUUCUUCUUUCUUCAUCCUCUUCUUCUUCCUUCUCCCUCUCCUUCUUCAUUGUUAUUAUUGAGUUUCAAAUAGAUUCAAUUUUGAUUUCGAUUUUGUGUUUGUUGUUUCAGGUUUGGUGGUUUUGGCUCACGUGGAGGGGGAAGCUUCGCCGAUAGUGCGGUUUCUGAUGGCUCCACGUGCGGUGCCUCAGUGUGGAAAUAAACCCUGGGAAGAUGUUCACUAUGUUUCAUAUUGUGUUUCCUUCGUGAAAUUUUAGAUUUAUACGGUAAGCCAGUAGUGGAAGGUACGAAUCACAACAAAGCUUUGGUUCAUUUGUUUAUUUAUUCAGCAUCUCUAACAUUGUUCUUAUGAUUUGCGUUUGGUUCCGAAACUACGAACAUGACUUAUCUGAGAAUAAGAUCCAAUGCUUCCAUGGCUUAGGGUUUGCACUGAGGAUGUGUCUUUUACAAAUCAUCUUUCUCCCGAGAAAGAUGGAGUUGGCUCAAGUAAAAACAAGCACUGGGAUGGCGAUGUUGGAUGGUUUGAGGUUGAGAAACAUUUUGAGAUUCUUACGAAUUCGAGGGAGGAUGGUUUGCUUCAUCGCCGGUAUAUUAUUAGCUUGGUAUAACUUUUAUCAGAACCAUCGCCGGUUCUGUAGAAGGACAUAUAAGAAUUGGAGGUACCAUAACAAUGUUUUGUUGUGGUCGUAACGACUUCUUAUCCGAGGUUGAACUGACAAUUUAUGUAAAAAUUGUGCAGGAAGGUGAACCGAUCUUACCAUCAAAAUUGAGGUUUAAAACACUUAAAAUGUAACAUGUUUGUGCUGACUGCAAAGGAAGUGAGGAAUAAUGUCAUGUGGAACACCAUAAUUUUGGGGUAUUCGAGAAAUGGUGAUAUGUAUAAAGCAUGUGAUGAAUACAGGAAGAAAGGAAAAAGGAAAGGCUAAAGCAAAGUUGGUCCAUCCAAUUAUGGAGCAGAUACAAAAUCGGAGGCAUUGGAGAUCGAAUUCAAUAUAAACAUUGUGAUUUUGGUGAUUUGAGACAUAUCUGUCGGCUGCGAUUCUGGCCUUUAACUAAAGUGCUCACCGAGAAGUAUGAUUUUAAUGAGAAAGAUGCAAGUGACAUGAGUGACUUUUUAGUUUCUAUCCCUGACUUUUUGGUGUUGGUGGAUCAUUAGAACAUAUGGUUGUUGGACUAGCCAGUUCACUUGGAAAAGAGGCUUGCGAAGGUUAGCCUAAUGGGGAUACUUUUGCUAUGGACACAAACUGAUAUGCAAUCGGAAUCCAUGGAUACUUUUGAACUUUGUAGAUCAACACAGGUACAAGUGGAUGACAUAUGGAGAAGCAAGUACUGCUCAGUCAGCAAUAGGUUCGUGUUUGAUUAAUCUUUGAAUCACAAAGAAGCAUACAAAUAUGUCCAAGUUGUCACCAAAAUCAAUAAUGGUGCCUGAGAAUGGAUCUUAGUCAGUGGAUUUCUCAUCCAAACGAAUGUAUGGGAUGGAAGAUUUAAUUGUCUAUUUGGACGAGGUUUUGUCUUCAUUGUGUGUGAGGAGAAAGUUGCUUUGUUCACUUCGGACCACCUCUAUUGGCGAGGCGGCGGUGGAUUCUCAUUUGGUUUGGUACUGAUGUUUCCUUGAUUAAGUGUUGUUGAAGUUUUUGGUUCAUGCAGUGGCCUGGCUGUUUAUGUUAGGCUUUAGUAUGGUGGUUAGAUUGGUGGCGGAUAGUUAGGUCGCAGUGCUGCUCGACGGAUUAGUGAGCACUGGCUUUUCUUGAUAUCCUGUUUUCUGUAUAGUUCGCAGUAGAGGUGGGAUAGUCGGAAGCCUGAGUUUUGUACCAUCAGCUUCUUUAACUUGUCAGUGGUUUUGCGUGUCUAGGUUGGUCUGUGCAGGCUGCUGAUAUUUUUGAGCUACCUCUGUUUCAUGUCUUUUUGGAGUGGUUCACCCGUAGUGGUGUCGGUCUUCUAAUUUCAUGUUUUCUACUCUGGUAUUGGUCGCUAUUUGGGUCUUUUCUGGUUUUGCUACUGGCUGGUUUGAGUUGCAGUUCCAAGUCUAUAAUGAAUAAAAUACCUUAAGUGGAGCACA